rnacentral:rRNA from 1 species
AAUGAACGCUGGCGGCAUGCCUAACACAUGCAAGUCGAACGAAGGCUUCGGCCUUAGUGGCGCACGGGUGCGUAACGCGUGGGAAUCUGCCCCUUGGUUCGGAAGAACAGUUAGAAAUGACUGCUAAUACCGGAUGAUGACGUAAGUCCAAAGAUUUAUCGCCGAGGGAUGAGCCCGCGUAGGAUUAGCUAGUUGGUGUGGUAAGAGCGCACCAAGGCGACGAUCCUUAGCUGGUCUGAGAGGAUGAUCAGCCACACUGGGACUGAGACACGGCCCAGACUCCUACGGGAGGCAGCAGUGGGGAAUAUUGGACAAUGGGCGAAAGCCUGAUCCAGCAAUGCCGCGUGAGUGAUGAAGGCCUUAGGGUUGUAAAGCUCUUUUACCCGGGAUGAUAAUGACAGUACCGGGAGAAUAAGCUCCGGCUAACUCCGUG